UAUCCAUUAGCUCACCGGUAGAGCGUCGGCUUUUGUGCCCGAAUGUAACUGGUUCGAUUCCAGUAUGGAGAA
rnacentral:tRNA from 1 species